rnacentral:lncRNA from 1 species
CUGAGGGUACCACAAGACACUUGCUUUGCAAGAGAAAUUGUUCAAGAUUAGUAUUUUAAAAUUCUGCUGUUUGGAUGACUGGUUUAAUAGCCUAAGAAAACAAUUACAGCAGUAAAGCCACAGGCACGCUGUGGGAUGCUGCAGCAGCCAAGAUGCAGGGUGCUGUGCCAAGCACUGCGCUGGGGCUCUGCCGACUGGGCUGCGGGUGCUGCUCCGUCAGCUGCAAAAGUGGCACAGGGUGUUUGCAAAAUCACUCAUUUCACUCUGUUCAGGUGUUUGUUGAUCACUCAUAGUGAAGGUUUUAGAAACGAAGCUCAGAGCUGUUUCUAGUUGAAAUGGUUUGAAAAAGCUGUUGCUGAUUGCUGCAGGACAGGCUGUCCGGAGAACAAGCUUUGACAUCCAUGCAAAGCCCCGGCCAUUGCGUGGCAGUCACCAAUGUGCUGCCAAUGGGCUCUGCUGGGAGGGUCAGAUUCCUGCCACCACUGGGCAGCCUUCUGGGGGUGAUUAGAAUGAAUUGGACAUUUUUAUUGGAAAUUUGGAAAUAUUUUUCAGCUCGGAAUCAAAUUACUCUCUCAGGGGACAACCUAUAAACUCCUUAAACUUCUAACAUUUUGUUUCUACAUUUCAUAAAUAUAUGCUUAUUUAUAAUUUAAGAAAACCAGCACUAGAACAAAAUAAUUCGUUCUCUUUCAACCACGCUAUUAAAUACUUUUACCUAAAUUUUGUUUGUGAGGGUAAAGUGAAUGAUUUAAUCUGAACCCCUUCAACCUCCAAAUAUUUUACCUCAGAGCAAAUAUUUCUUUACACUGAUCCUGAAGAGACUUUCCGAG